rnacentral:rRNA from 1 species
UACAGAGGGGGCAAGCGUUGUUCGGAAUUACUGGGCGUAAAGGGCGCGUAGGCGGCCCGCUAAGUCGAACGUGAAAUCCCCGAGCUCAACUCGGGAACUGCGUCCGAUACUGGUGGGCUUGAAUCCGGGAGAGGGAUGCGGAAUUCCAGGUGUAGCGGUGAAAUGCGUAGAUAUCUGGAGGAACACCGGUGGCGAAGGCGGGUCUCUGGGCCGAUACUGACGCUGAGGAGCGAAAGCGUGGGGAGCGAACGGG